rnacentral:rRNA from 1 species
GCGGCGGACGGGUGAGUAACACGUGGAUAACCUACCUAUAAGACUGGGAUAACUUCGGGAAACCGGAGCUAAUACCGGAUAAUAUUUUGAACCGCAUGGUUCAAAAGUGAAAGACGGUCUUGCUGUCACUUAUAGAUGGAUCCGCGCUGCAUUAGCUAGUUGGUAAGGUAACGGCUUACCAAGGCAACGAUGCAUAGCCGACCUGAGAGGGUGAUCGGCCACACUGGAACUGAGACACGGUCCAGACUCCUACGGGAGGCAGCAGUAGGGAAUCUUCCGCAAUGGGCGAAAGCCUGACGGAGCAACGCCGCGUGAGUGAUGAAGGUCUUCGGAUCGUAAAACUCUGUUAUUAGGGAAGAACAUAUGUGUAAGUAACUGUGCACAUCUUGACGGUACCUAAUCAGAAAGCCACGGCUAACUACGUGCCAGCAGCCGCGGUAAUACGUAGGUGGCAAGCGUUAUCCGGAAUUAUUGGGCGUAAAGCGCGCGUAGGCGGUUUUUUAAGUCUGAUGUGAAAGCCCACGGCUCAACCGUGGAGGGUCAUUGGAAACUGGAAAACUUGAGUGCAGAAGAGGAAAGUGGAAUUCCAUGUGUAGCGGUGAAAUGCGCAGAGAUAUGGAGGAACACCAGUGGCGAAGGCGACUUUCUGGUCUGUAACUGACGCUGAUGUGCGAAAGCGUGGGGAUCAAACAGGAUUAGAUACCCUGGUAGUCCACGCCGUAAACGAUGAGUGCUAAGUGUUAGGGGGUUUCCGCCCCUUAGUGCUGCAGCUAACGCAUUAAGCACUCCGCCUGGGGAGUACGACCGCAAGGUUGAAACUCAAAGGAAUUGACGGGGACCCGCACAAGCGGUGGAGCAUGUGGUUUAAUUCGAAGCAACGCGAAGAACCUUACCAAAUCUUGACAUCCUUUGACAACUCUAGAGAUAGAGCUUUCCCCUUCGGGGGACAAAGUGACAGGUGGUGCAUGGUUGUCGUCAGCUCGUGUCGUGAGAUGUUGGGUUAAGUCCCGCAACGAGCGCAACCCUUAAGCUUAGUUGCCAUCAUUAAGU